UACGUAGGGUGCAGGCGUUAAUCGGAAUUACUGGGCGUAAAGCGUGCGCAGGCGGCUCCUUAAGUCAGAUGUGAAAUCCCCGGGCUUAAACCUGGGAACUGCGUUUGAAACUGAGGGGCUAGAGUGUGGAAGAGGGGGGUGGAAAUUCCAGGUGUAGCAGUGAAAUGCGUAGAGAUCUGGAGGAACACCGAUGGCGAAGGCAGCCCCCUGGGCUACACUGA
rnacentral:rRNA from 1 species